rnacentral:snRNA from 1 species
GUGCUUGCUCUGGCAGCACAUACACUAAAAUUGGAAUGAUACAGAGCAUGGCCCCUGUGUAAGGAUGAC